rnacentral:rRNA from 1 species
GAUGAACGCUGGCGGCGUGCCUAAUACAUGCAAGUCGAGCGAACGGACGAGAAGCUUGCUUCUCUUAUGUUAGCGGCGGACGGGUGAGUAACACGUGGAUAACCUACCUAUAAGACUGGGAUAAUUUCGGGAAACCGGAGCUAAUACCGGAUAAUAUUUUGAACCGCAUGGUUCAAAAGUGAAAGACGGUCUUGCUGUCACUUAUAGAUGGAUCCGCGCUGCAUUAGCUAGUUGGUAAGGUAACGGCUUACCAAGGCAACGUUGCAUAGCCGACCUGAGAGGGUGAUCGGCCACACUGGAACUGAGCACCGGUCCAGACUCCAACGGGAGGCAGCAGUAGGGAAUCUUCGGCAAUGGGCGAAAGCCUGCCGGAGCAACGCCGCGUGAGUGAUGAAGGUCUUCGGAUCGUAAAACUCUGUUAUUAGGGAAGAACAUAUGUGUAAGUAACUGUGCACAAAUUGACGGUACCUAAUCAGAAAGCCACGGCUAACUACGUG